CAGCUUUUCCAGCCGUAAAACUGGAAGGAUGCAGAGAAGGUCUGCGUCUUCUGCACGUGUCUUGGAGACCAGCACGGCCUCUGUGCAAGGAUGACAUGCAAAUUCACAAUAAGGCCUCUCUUUUA
ensembl:snRNA U6 U6 spliceosomal RNA